UAAGGAUGUGACGUAUAAAAUGUUAGCCUUCAAUGUCUACUUCUAUCAACACAAAGUCUCUAUUCAUUAAUUGUUAUCUAUAUUAUAAAGUAGAAUGUGAGGGUUAUGUCUCUAUCAUGUGUGAGCAUGGUGUUCUUCCAGAUGUGACUCUACAGACCAUUCAUCAUAUUUGUAAAGUAUUCAUUUAUUCUAUAAGUGUUACUCUUUGCAAUGUCUAGAUAUGUGAAGAGUUACUGGUCCAGUCAUAGGGCAGAAAGUCAAUAUGGAUAAUGGUGGCGGGGUUUGAACUCAGAACCAUUGAGAUGACAGUGCAGAGAGCAAAGCACAUGACCUGGAAAUCCAUUUUAUAUGACUACAUGUGUCUAGCAUUAGCCUACAUUUGAAUUACCUGUGUCUCAUGGUGACAAAAGUCUCCUUGAUACCAUUUAAAUAUAGAAGAUAGUUUCAAAGUUUGUUUAGCCAAGUCAACCUGACAUCCACUGUCACUUUCAAGAAAGGCAGAUGUAGCCAAGUAAAGUUCUUCA